UUAGCGGCGGACGGGUGAGUAACACGUGGAUAACCUACCUAUAAGACUGGGAUAACUUCGGGAAACCGGAGCUAAUACCGGAUAAUAUAUUGAACCGCAUGGUUCAAUAGUGAAAGACGGUUUUGCUGUCACUUAUAGAUGGAUCCGCGCCGCAUUAGCUAGUUGGUAAGGUAACGGCUUACCAAGGCGACGAUGCGUAGCCGACCUGAGAGGGUGAUCGGCCACACUGGAACUGAGACACGGUCCAGACUCCUACGGGAGGCAGCAGUAGGGAAUCUUCCGCAAUGGGCGAAAGCCUGACGGAGCAACGCCGCGUGAGUGAUGAAGGUCUUCGGAUCGUAAAACUCUGUUAUUAGGGAAGAACAAAUGUGUAAGUAACUAUGCACGUCUUGACGGUACCUAAUCAGAAAGCCACGGCUAACUACGUGCCAGCAGCCGCGGUAAUACGUAGGUGGCAAGCGUUAUCCGGAAUUAUUGGGCGUAAAGCGCGCGUAGGCGGUUUUUUAAGUCUGAUGUGAAAGCCCACGGCUCAACCGUGGAGGGUCAUUGGAAACUGGAAAACUUGAGUGCAGAAGAGGAAAGUGGAAUUCCAUGUGUAGCGGUGAAAUGCGCAG
rnacentral:rRNA from 1 species